rnacentral:rRNA from 1 species
ACUCCUACGGGAGGCAGCAGUAGGGAAUCUUCCACAAUGGGCGAAAGCCUGAUGGAGCAACGCCGCGUGGGUGAAGAAGGUCUUCGGAUCGUAAAACCCUGUUGUUAGAGAAGAAAGUGCGUGAGAGUAACUGUUCACGUUUCGACGGUAUCUAACCAGAAAGCCGCGGCUAACUACGUGCCAGCAGCCGCGGUAAUACGUAGGUGGCAAGCGUUAUCCGGAUUUAUUGGGCGUAAAGGGAACGCAGGCGGUCUUUUAAGUCUGAUGUGAAAGCCUUCGGCUUAACCGGAGUAGUGCAUUGGAAACUGGGAGACUUGAGUGCAGAAGAGGAGAGUGGAACUCCAUGUGUAGCGGUGAAAUGCGUAGAUAUAUGGAAGAACACCAGUGGCGAAAGCGGCUCUCUGGUCUGUAACUGACGCUGAGGUUCGAAAGCGUGGGUAGCAAACAGGAUUAGAUACCCCUGGUAGGAUAGCG